GACGAACGCUGGCGGCGUGCUUAACACAUGCAAGUCGAACGGAAAGGCCCUGCUUUUGUGGGGUGCUCGAGUGGCGAACGGGUGAGUAGCACGUGAGUAACCUGCCCUUGACUUUGGGAUAACUUCAGGAAACUGGGGCUAAUACCGGAUAGGAGCUCCUGCUGCAUGGUGGGGGUUGGAAAGUUUCGGCGGUUGGGGAUGGACUCGCGGCUUAUCAGCUUGUUGGUGGGGUAGUGGCUUACCUAGGCUUUGACGGGUAGCCGGCCUGAGAGGGUGACCGGCCACAUUGGGACUGAGAUACGGCCCAGACUCCUACGGGAGGCAGCAGUGGGGAAUAUUGCACAAUGGGCGGAAGCCUGAUGCAGCAACGCCGCGUGCGGGAUGACGGCCUUCGGGUUGUAAACCGCUUUCGCCUGUGACGAAGCGUGAGUGACGGUAAUGGGUAAAGAAGCACCGGCUAACUACGUG
rnacentral:rRNA from 1 species